UACAGAGGUGGCAAGCGUUGUUCGGAAUUACUGGGCGUAAAGGGCGCGUAGGCGGCCUUCUAAGUCGGACGUGAAAGCCCCAGGCUUAACCUGGGAACUGCGUCCGAUACUGGGAGGCUUGGAUUCGGGAGAGGGAUGUGGAAUUCCAGGUGUAGUGGUGAAAUGCGUAGAUAUCGGGAGGAACACCAGUGGCGAAGGCGGCUACCUGGCCCACUCUUGACGCUGAGGCGCGAAAGCUAGGGGAGCAACGGGAUUAGAUGACCCAGUAGUCCCGAGAACCAACGAU
rnacentral:rRNA from 1 species